rnacentral:rRNA from 1 species
GUUAAAGGUUACGGAAUAGGAGUGGGCAUGCGUCCCAUUAGCUAGAUGGUAAGGUAACGGCUUACCAUGGCGACGAGUGGGUAGGGGGUCUGAGAGGAUGGUCCCCCACACUGGUACUGAGACACGGACCAGACUCCUACGGGAGGCAGCAGUGAGGAAUAUUGGUCAAUGGGCGAGAGCCUGAACCAGCCAUGCCGCGUGCAGGAAGAAUGCCCUAUGGGUUGUAAACUGCUUUUAUCAGGGAAUAAACCUUUCUACGUGUAGGAAGCUGAAGGUACCUGAUGAAUAAGCACCGGCUAACUCCGUG